GCUUACAUCACAGAAUGAGUGGAGCUAAAUCUCAUUUUCAUUUGUUGGUGUUCAACAGUGACGGGCCUGAGGUUUCAUCACAAAAGACAGUACAAAAUACAUGGUCGAGAGCAAGCCAUAAGGAGUGUGACCCUAGUUGACCCCUGAAGAAUCUCUUGUUUGGGAUGAUAUGUGGUGAAGAACAGCCUCGUAUAUAACAGAGUUGUCAGCUGACCGCCCAUGGAGUGGGUUCAAAUGUCUCGUACCCCGAGAAUUUGUGCGAGACGAGCUGUAACAACGGGGUACAACCCCUGAAGCUUCUGGCAACCUGUAAUUAUUUUUCGUCAACUUUGUUGUAAGGAAUGACAAUAAAAAAUGAAAGAAUGUUUCAUGAAAGAAAAACAGUGUCUGUUUUUGACGUUCAUUAAGAUUUGGUGGAUAGAUUCAUUCAUCUUGAGUUCUUUACUUUCACUUUUACGCUAGCUAAUAUCAGUAUCUUAUUAGGUCGACCUGCAACCUGCUUCAAGGCGGAAAUUCAAUUUAACGGGUGACCAAUGUUUGGAGUUCUCUACUUUUAUGUGCAUUUUUUAUGAAACCUCAAAGUGUUUAUAAAUUGUUAAAAACGUU